rnacentral:rRNA from 34 species
GAUCAAGUGUCUUAAGGGCAAUUGGUGGAUGCCUUGGCAUGCACAGGCGAUGAAGGACGUGAUACGCUGCGAUAAGCUACGGGGAGGUGCGAAUACCCUUUGAUCCGUAGAUUUCCGAAUGGGGAAACCCACCUAAGGUACUUGGAAAAUCAGAGCAGCCGGAAGGUCGCAAGGCCGACUUGCUGCUGUGGUUUCCAAGUAUCGAUAAUAGGUAACUUACCCUGAAUACAUAGGGGUAAAGUGGCGAACGCGGGGAACUGAAACAUCUAAGUACCCGUAGGAAAGGACAUCAACCGAGACUCCGGAAGUAGUGGCGAGCGAACCCGGACCAGGCCAGUGGCGAUUGAGAGACAAGCGGAACCUUCUGGAAAGUAGGGCCAUAGUGGGUGACAGCCCCGUACGCGUAAUGCAAUCAAUCGUCCUCGAGUAAGGCGGGACACGUGAAAUCCUGUCUGAAAUUGGGGGGACCACCCUCCAAGCCUAAGUACUCGUGCAUGACCGAUAGCGAACUAGUACCGUGAGGGAAAGGUGAAAAGCACCCCGACAAGGGGAGUGAAAGAGUACCUGAAACCGAUUGCCUACAAACAGUGGAAGCCCAAGGUUCGUCCUGGGUGACCACGUACCUUUUGUAUAAUGGGUCAGCGACUUAGUGUGACGAGCAAGCUUAAACCGCUAGGUGUAGGCGCAGCGAAAGCGAGUCUGAAUAGGGCGUUCAGUUCGUCGCAUUAGACCCGAAACCGAGUGAUCUAGCCAUGAGCAGGUUGAAGGUAAGGUAACACUUACUGGAGGACCGAACCCAUAACUGUUGCAAUAGUUCGGGAUGACUUGUGGCUAGGGGUGAAAGGCCAAUCAAACUCGGAAAUAGCUGGUUCUCCGCGAAAUCUAUUUAGGUAGAGCGUCGACCGAAUACCCCAGGGGGUAGAGCACUGGAUGGGCUAGGGGUCCUCACCGGAUUACCAAACCUAACCAAACUCCGAAUACCUGGGAGUACUAGUCGGCAGACACACGGCGGGUGCUAACGUCCGUCGUGAAAAGGGAAACAACCCUGACCUACAGCUAAGGUCCCCAAGUUAUGGCUAAGUGGGAAAGGAUGUGAGGAUCCCAAAACAACCAGGAUGUUGGCUUAGAAGCAGCCAUCAUUUAAAGAAAGCGUAACAGCUCACUGGUCUAAAUAAGGGUCUUUGCGCCGAAAAUGUAACGGGGCUAAAGCCAUACACCGAAGCUUAGGGUUUGGUCCGCAAGGGCCAAGCGGUAGCGGAGCGUUCUGUAAGCUGAUGAAGCCAUACCCGUGAGGGGUGGUGGAGGUAUCAGAAGUGCGAAUGCUGACAUGAGUAACGUAAGGGGAGUGAGAGACUCCCCCGCCGAAAGACCAAGGGUUCCUGCUUAAAGCUAAUCUGAGCAGGGUUAGCCGGCCCCUAAGACGAGGCGGAAACGCGUAGUCGAUGGGAACCACGUUAAUAUUCGUGGGCUUGGAGGUAGUGACGGAUCAUUGAGGUAGUCCAAUCUUAUCGGAUUGAACGGGCUGCUGCGUGGUUCCAGGAAAUAGCUCCUCCUUAUAAACCGUACCCGAAACCGACACUGGUGGUCUGGUAGAGUAUACCAAGGCGCUUGAGAGAACUAUGCUGAAGGAACUCGGCAAAUUGCACGCGUAACUUCGGAAGAAGCGUGACCCUUUUCUACGCAAGUAGAGGAGGGUGGCACAGACCAGGGGGUAGCGACUGUUUAUCAAAAACACAGGGCUCUGCGAAGUCGCAAGACGACGUAUAGGGUCUGACGCCUGCCCGGUGCUGGAAGGUUAAGAGGAGGGGUGCAAGCUCUGAAUCGAAGCCCCAGUAAACGGCGGCCGUAACUAUAACGGUCCUAAGGUAGCGAAAUUCCUUGUCGGGUAAGUUCCGACCUGCACGAAUGGCGUAACGACUUCCCCGCUGUCUCCAGCAUAGACUCAGUGAAAUUGAAUUCCCCGUGAAGAUGCGGGGUUCCUGCGGUUAGACGGAAAGACCCCGUGCACCUUUACUAUAGCUUUACAUUGGCAUUCGUAGUGGCAUGUGUAGGAUAGGUGGUAGGCUUUGAAACCUGGGCGCCAGCUCAGGUGGAGCCACCCUUGAAAUACCACCCUUAUUACUAUGGAUGUCUAACCGCGGCCCGUUAUCCGGGUCCGGGACAAUGUAUGGUGGGUAGUUUGACUGGGGCGGUCGCCUCCUAAAGAGUAACGGAGGCGCGCGAUGGUGGGCUCAGAACGGUCGGAAAUCGUUCGCUGAGUGCAAUGGCAUAAGCCUGCCUGACUGCGAGACUGACAAGUCGAGCAGAGACGAAAGUCGGUCAUAGUGAUCCGGUGGUCCCGCGUGGAAGGGCCAUCGCUCAACGGAUAAAAGGUACGCCGGGGAUAACAGGCUGAUGACCCCCAAGAGUCCAUAUCGACGGGGUUGUUUGGCACCUCGAUGUCGACUCAUCGCAUCCUGGGGCUGGAGCAGGUCCCAAGGGUAUGGCUGUUCGCCAUUUAAAGCGGUACGUGAGUUGGGUUCAGAACGUCGUGAGACAGUUCGGUCCCUAUCUGCCGUGGGUGUAGGAAUAUUGAAAGGAUCUGUCCCUAGUACGAGAGGACCGGGAUGGACGGAUCUCUGGUGGACCUGUUGUGGCGCCAGCCGCAUAGCAGGGUAGCUAUAUCCGGACGGGAUAACCGCUGAAGGCAUCUAAGCGGGAAACCCACCUUAAAACGAGUAUUCCCUGAGAACCGUGGAAGACGACCACGUUGAUAGGCCGGGUGUGGAAGAGCGGCAACGCUUGAAGCUUACCGGUACUAAUAGUUCGAUCGGCUUGAUCGUUCUCAUU